ACAUCCAAUAAACGAAAGCGCUCUUCGAUAAGUUAAUUAGCAAUUUUAUUAGAUCAUUUUAUAAGCGCCACACAAUUUCCAAACGACCCAUAAACAAGGCGUGUACUCUUGUCAGCGUUAGAAAGUAGAAAUGACAUUGAUUUGCUUAAAAACAGGAUUUAUCAUAUAUAGUGUGUUUAGUGAUACAUAAGCAUAUAUGUAUAUAGCAAAUUUAUUGCUUUAAAAAAAAAUCAAAAAACACCUCAAUCUUAAACUAAUUAUUUGAAGAAAAAAAACUCGAUCAAAGAAUUUUUAGGUCUGAUUGAUUCGAUGACUUUUGUUUUGAUAAAUUUUUAUAAUUGGAUGGGUGGGCGCGCGAGAUGAGCGUGGGACAAUCAAACUGCGUCGUUUAACCUGUUCGCAUUUUGCUCUAAUGAGGAUUUGAAUUUUUUUUUUCUGAUUUAAAAAAAAUUUUCUUUUUCAGGUAGGAGGACUGAUAUUGUUCGAAUAACUAUGAAUUCAUUUUUUUCUAUCUUCUGAUGAUAAUCGAUAAACUUCAUAAAAUUAUUAAUUGAAAUCUAUAAUAUUGAAGAUGUGAGCGAGAUUGUGUGCAAAAAAAAAGUUAACGUAAAAAGAGAGGGGAAAAAAAAAACGUUGGAGCGAUUGAUCAUUUUGAUUUGAAACACAAGUCAACGUCAUUGAUAUCAUUUUCGAAUUUUCCGUUUGUUCGAGAUGGAAGAUUAUUGAAUAAUUGAACGUUUCAUAUAAAAAUAAUUAAUUAUUGUGAACAACUCUGUUUGAAUGGCGAAUUUAACAGAAAGCUUCUUCUUCUUCCGUAUAUAACCCAUACCAAUAAUAAUAUACACGUGCGCAUAAAAUUUAUCGUUGAAAUCGAUAUGUGAAUUCGAAGGCUCGCAAGAGGAGAGAAGAACAAUAGAAAUGAAACGAUAAAAAGAAUUCAGUGUCUGACGAUUUUGUGCCGUAAGAUUAUUCAGAGAUAGGAGUGACUUAUUGUGGAGUGUGCCAGGCAGUAGCCGAGAAAUUGUUCAUUUGAGAAAAAAAAAUGUUCCUUAAAGUUCUGAACGUUCACUGAAAAAAUAUCCUUUUUUUUUUUUUUGAAUGUUUCGAAUUAAAAAAAGGAGAAAAGUAUAAAUUCAAUUUAAUGGAAAAUAAAUUUAGUAGAAAAAGGAUACAAAACAAUGGUAAAAAAAAAUAUUUAUCCGAACCUUCAGAACUUCAAGUACCUUAUUUAUAUAUAAUGAUUGAGAAAAUACAGAAAGAGAAGAGAAAGAAUCAUUUUUGCAAAAUAUUCUUGAAAAAAGAGGUGAUGAACACAAAUUUUCUUCUUCUAAAAUGGUGAGAGAAUUAUAAUUUUGAUUUAAAUGACUAAUUUAUUUUUAAUAUUUUCUUAAUAUAAGUAAAUUUAAUUUAAUUUUUUUGUUAUUGAAUCGAUUCAAGAAACAAUUUUUUAAAUCUCUUCGAAACUUUGAAUCUCGAUCAACAAAGUUGACAGAAAAAUUGAAUUCAUUCGACAAAAUUUUUUUUUAAAAUCAUGGAAAAUUUUUUAAUUAAAUUUCUCUAUUUUCUUCCAAGUUUGAAUUUUGUUUAACAAUUCAUAACUCUUUGAUAUUUUUCGAAAAUCCCUGACCCGUGGCAACCCUUGAUCGAGAUUCAAAAGAAAGAAAAGACGGAGAACAUUUUGCAAAAUGAAUCUUUGAUGAUAAAAAAAAUAA